rnacentral:rRNA from 1 species
GUCCACGCCGUAAACGAUGAUCACUAGAUGUUGGGAGUAUUGACCCUUUCAGCGUCGCAGCUAACGCAUUAAGUGAUCCGCCUGGGGAGUACGGCCGCAAGGCUAAAACUCAAAGGAAUUGACGGGGGCCCGCACAAGCGGUGGAGUAUGUGGUUUAAUUCGACGCAACGCGAAGAACCUUACCUAGGUUAGAAAUCAACUGGACGAUUUACAGAGAUGUAUUUCUUCCCCGCAAGGGGACCGGUUGACAGGUGCUGCAUGGCUGUCGU